rnacentral:siRNA from 1 species
GCGGUUGCGGUUGCGGGAGUUUA